rnacentral:rRNA from 1 species
AUUGAACGCUGGCGGCAGGCCUAACAUAUGCAAGUCGAACGAGUGGCGGACGGGUGAGUAAUGUCUGGGAAACUGCCCGAUGGAGGGGGAUAACUACUGGAAACGGUAGCUAAUACCGCAUACCAUCGGAUGUGCCCAGAUGGGAUUAGCUAGUAGGUGGGGUAACGGCUCACCUAGGCGACGAUCCCUAGCUGGUCUGAGAGGAUGACCAGCCACACUGGAACUGAGACACGGGCCAGACUCCUACGGGAGGCAGCAGGGGGGAAUAUUGCACAAUGGGCGCAAGCCUGAUGCAGCCAUGCCGGGUGUAUGAAGAAGGCCUUCGGGUUGUAAAGUAGUUUCAGCGAGGAGGCGUUACUCGCAGAAGAAGCACCGGCUAACUCCGUGCCAGCAGCAGCGGGAAUC